AUGCCGUCACUGUUGCACGUAUGCACUCUGACAGUCCUUGGGGCUUUAUGUGUGUAUGGUGCAGGUCAUCUAGAGCAACCUCAACUCUCCAGUACCAAAAAGCUGUCCAAAACAGCCCGCCUGGAAUGCGUGGUAUCUGGUGUAACCAUUUCUAAAAUGUCUGUAUAUUGGUAUCAAGAAAGACCUGGUCAAGCCAUGCAGCACCUGCUACACAUUUUAUCUAACAACACCGUCAAAAGGGAAUCAGACGUUACACUGGGCAAGUUUGAGGCAGACAAGAUACCCGAGACUUCUACGUCGACCCUCACCAUUCACAAUGUACGGGAACAAGACGCGGCCAUCUACUAUUGUGCCCUCUGGGAAGUGCACAGUAGCAGACCUUAG